rfam:Nematostella vectensis strain CH2 x CH6 NEMVEscaffold_350_Cont24651, whole genome shotgun sequence.
GUCUCCGUGGCGCAAUCGAUUAGCGCGUUCGGCUGCUAACGGAAAGGUUGGUGGUUCAAUCCCACACAGGGACG